rnacentral:rRNA from 1 species
GAUGAACGCUAGCGGCAGGCUUAACACAUGCAAGUCGAGGGGUAUAGUUUUCGGAACUAGAGACCGGCGCACGGGUGCGUAACGCGUAUGCAAUCUACCUUUUGCAGAGGGAUAGCCCAGAGAAAUUUGGAUUAAUACCUCAUAGUAUAGUACCUUGGCAUCAAGGAGCUAUUAAAGUCACAACGGCAAAAGAUGAGCAUGCGUCCCAUUAGCUAGUUGGUAAGGUAACGGCUUACCAAGGCAACGAUGGGUAGGGGUCCUGAGAGGGAGAUCCCCCACACUGGUACUGAGACACGGACCAGACUCCUACGGGAGGCAGCAGUGAGGAAUAUUGGACAAUGGGCGCAAGCCUGAUCCAGCCAUGCCGCGUGCAGGAUGACGGUCCUAUGGAUUGUAAACUGCUUUUAUACGAGAAGAAACACUCCUACGUGUAGGAGCUUGACGGUAUCGUAAGAAUAAGGAUCGGCUAACUCCGUG